UAAGUACAGAGUUUCUCUCACUUUGCGAGAGGAAUCCUUGCACAAGUGUGAGUGCGUCCAGUUGCAUGACUGCUGUGCUGCCUUCGCUUCCAGCCAGAAGGGACGACGACUUUCUCGCAGUCAUUUUCGAGCUGUUUGUGCGGAAUGAUGUGAGUCUUGUCGCAGCGGAUAUCGCGUUGAUGGGCGUCGCGGUUGAUUGAAAUUUUGAAUUUUGUGGAAUAAUAAAAGUGAACUGCGCGUUUUUCGUGCGAUUGUUAUGGAUUACGAAAAUGAUGGAAGAUUGAUAGGAUUCGAAACUGAGGUUUGAGCUGGUGUUAUAGUGGAGUGUGGACGGCUUUUGGCCGAAAGUGAUGUUGGGAUGCUGGAUUUUAUUGAAUGUGUCGGUCAGAAAAGUGUAGUGUAGAGGAUUGGCCAAGGAAGUCAGUGAUGCUAAGUUUCAGUUAGUGCUGCAAGGAUAAGACGUGUUAUGGUUUACGUUACGAAAUUAAUGAUGAUCAAGUUGAGUUAAACUUUCUAUCCAAAGGUAAAUAUUUUUAAUUUUUCAUAUAGUGAAACUAAAGUUUAGUGGAAGAAGGAGUGUCUCGCCUUUUUUUGGCUCAACUGGAGAAAAAUCCUGGUUGGCAGGCCACAGAAUACAAGCAUCAGAACACUCAUACAAGCUCGGUCUUUUUGUAGACCAGCCAUUGCACAGUGGCCUGAGCAGCGGCACUCAGCACGGCGGCAGUCAGUGAGUGAGCCUCAGUCAGUCAGUGGUGUUGUUUGAAUGCAGUUUCCAGAUCCGGACAGACACCACCAUGCAGAUAGCUAGGUGGCACCGAGUAGACAGUGCAUGAAUGUAAUCUUGCAAAGAGUAACAAAAAAAACAAUUAACGAAAAUAUUGAACCGAGUGCGUUCCGCCCAAAGAGCGCUGCACUGCACUGUGUGCGAAGCAAAGCGGUUGUUUGAAAGUGAUCAUAAAAGCGAAAAAAAAAUCGAAAGUGAACCAUACAUCAGUCAAUACCCAGCAGUAGUGUUGUGAUGAGCUGAAAUGUAUCUCCGGGCGUCAUCAUUCAGCUAAGCGGUGAAUUGUGAAGGAAAACAGAAAAAAAAACAACGAAAAUAAAAGUGUAAAGUGCUUUUUCCGACGUAUUGCGUAAAGCGAGUAAAAAUUAAGUAUUGUGGCCGCAGUAAGUGCGCUCACCCAUGCGACUGGGUGGUAUUGGUGGCAGUGGUGG